GAGUUUGAUCAUGGCUCAGGAUGAACGCUAGCGACAGGCCUAACACAUGCAAGUCGAGGGGCAUCGGGGUGUAGCAAUACGCUGCCGGCGACCGGCGGAUGGGUGAGUAACGCGUAUACAACCUGCCUUCAGCAGGGGGAUAGCCCGUUGAAAGACGGAUUAAUACCCCGUAACACAGGGGCUCCGCAUGGAGAUUAUUGUUAAAGGGAUGCUUCCUUCGGGGGGUAUUCCGGCUGAAGAUGGGCAUGCGUUCCAUUAGGUAGUUGGUUGAGGUAACGGCUCACCAAGCCUGCGAUGGAUAGGGGAACUGAGAGGUUGGUCCCCCACACUGGUACUGAGACACGGACCAGACUCCUACGGGAGGCAGCAGUGAGGAAUCUUGGUCAAUGGACGGAAGUCUGAACCAGCCAUGUCGCGUGAAGGAGGACGGCCCUAAGGGUUGUAAACUUCUUUUGCAGGGGAAUAAAGUAUUCCACGAGAUGGGAUAUUGCAAGUACGCUGCGAAUAAGGAUCGGCUAACUCCGUGCCAGCAGCCGCGGUAAUACGGAGGAUCCGAGCGUUACCCGGAUUUAUUGGGUUUAAAGGGUGCGCAGGCGGGAAGUUAGGUCGGCGGUGAAAUUUCGGGGCUCAACCCCGAGAGUGCCGUUGAAACCGGUUUUCUUGAGUGCGGAUGAGGUAGGCGGAAUUUGUGGUGUAGCGGUGAAAUGCGUAGAUAUCACAAGGAACACCGAUUGCGGAGGCAGCUUACUAAACCGUUACUGACGCUCAUGCACGAAGGCGUGGGGAUCAAACAGGAUUAGAUACCCUGGUAGUCCACGCAGUAAACGAUGAUUACUAGCUGUUUGCGAUACAGUGUAAGCGGCUUAGCGAAAGCGUUAAGUAAUCCACCUGGGGAGUACGUUUGCAAGAAUGAAACUUAAAUGAAUUGACGG
rnacentral:rRNA from 1 species